UUGCCUCAGCCUCCUGAGUAGCUGGGACUACAGGUGCCUGCCACCACACCCAGCUUUUUUUUUUUUUGGUAGAGACAGGGUUGUUGGCCAUGUUGGCCAGGCUGGUCUCGAACUCCUGACCCAAGUGAUCCCCCUGCCUUGGCUUUUGAAAGAGUUGGGAUUACAGGCAUGAGCCAUGGUGCCUGGCCAUUUAAUUUUAUUCUUUUACAUUUUAAAAUUACAGUUUUUAUACCUAUUCAGAAGUAGAGAAAAUAGUACGAUGAACACUAAAAUACUUAUUCCUUAAUUUCUGUGAUCAUCAAGAUUGUCCUGCAUUUUGUUCUAUUUCUUUUCCUCCCUUUGCAGGAAUACUGUAAAGAGUCUUCAUGUCAUUUUACCUGUUCAGUGCACGUCCCCAAACAGCCACCAUCUCCUCACAUCUGACAAAAUUAACAAUGUUUUUUUGGUGUCAGCUCAUUGUUUGCUUUAUAUCUGGAUCCAAACAAUCUUCUCGUGCUAACUUUGGUUAUCAUGCCUCUUUUAAUCUAAACCAGCCUCUGCUUACUAUUGUUAUUUCAUAUUCCACGAAUUCUCUGUGGGAAGUUAUUUCUUUCAAAACAGCAUGGUUACAAGGUUGAAGGUGUAAAGAAUAUUGAUCUUGUGGUUGCAGUGCAGAUGAAAGUGUAGCCUGAAAUGUGCCGUGUGCAGCAGCAAUGGAGGAGGGUUAUUAAAGGUCACCAGCAGAGAGUAAGUAGCAAAAGGCUGCUUCCAGAUAGUAUUUACAGGCUGGGUCCAGUGGCUCAUGCCUGUAAUUGCAGCACUUUGGGAGGCCGAGAUGGGCGAACCACCUGAGAUAUCGGGAGUUUGAGACCAUCCUGCCCAAAAUGGUGAAACCUGGUCUCUACUAAACAAUACAAAAAUUAGCCAGGCAUGAUGGCAGGUGCCAAUAAUCUUAGCUACUUGGGAGGCUGUGGCAGGAGAAUUGCUAGAACCUGGGAGGUGGAGGUUGCAGUGAGCUGAGAUCAUGCCACUGCACUGCAGCCUGGGUGACAGAGCAAGACUCCAUCUCAAAAAAAAUACUACUUAGGUUGUAUUCUUUAUCUUCUAUAAUAAUUUUCUUUCUCUGUCUUCCUAAGGACAUUGAAAAGAAGUUUUAUCUUUUAGGAUCUUUGAAGAUCUUUUCUAAGACCAAAACUCUCAAGCACAUUCAAAUGAUUUGUAUGUGGAAGGACUAUCAGAAAACAUUUCUUUUAGAAGUCCCUUGUGAUAUGGAAUUCCGAGGCUGGAAAACAUCAGACAUGAACUUAUUAAUUCUACACGUGAGGAUUUACAACUUGAUAAACCAGCUUCAGGAGGCUCGAGUGCAAUGGUGCAAUCUUGGCUCAUGACAACCUCUGCCUCCUGGGUUCCAACAAUUCUCCUGCCUGAGCCUCCCGAGUAGCUGGGAUAACAGGUUCAAGCGAUCCUCCUGCCACAGUAUCCAUAGUAGUUGGGACUACAGCUGGAGUUUCCCUCUUGUCCCCAUGCUGGAGUGCAAUGGCAUCAUCUUGGCUCACUGUAACGUCUACCUCCUGGAUUCAAGUGAUUCUCCUGCCUCAGCUUCCCGAGUAGCUGGGAUUGCAGGCACCUGCUUCCACACAUAGAUUCUCACUCCGUUGCCGAGGCUGGAGUCUAGUGGCAUGAUCUUGGCUCACUGUAGUGUCUUCCUGCUGGGCGCAAGUGAUUAUCUUGCCUCAGCCUCCUGAGUAGCUGGGAUUACAGGAUAUUGAAAAACAAAGUUUAAUCUUUGAAG